GCUGUUCAUUUCAAUCACACGGAGAUUAUAACAUUUUUAAACGACGCAGGCAGGCCUAAAGUAAUCUUUUUUAUUUAUUUAACUGGCCGUCUUGCUUGUUUCAGAACAUUUGACGCUAGACUUUAAGUACAUAGUCCGUUAGUAACCGAGCGUUGCGCGCAUUACGGUAGAAAACAGGAGCGAGCAUGAAGUGUUGGCCACGGCUACGUCACUCCUUCUUUUAAAUUACUUCGGACAAAGUCGGGAAGAGAAAAUGACGCUCGCUUUUCCCUUGUUGGUUCUGUUUGCUGUUGUAUUCAUACCUCAGUGUGUAGGUGAAGGUUCCAUUAUAGGGAUCAUUGGUGAAGCAGCCAUACUGCCAUGUGAACUUACUUUUAUGACUCCAGUGUCCAUCAAAGACAUUAAUUUUGAAUGGCGAGCUGAAGGUGAUAUAGUAGAUGCAUUUGUUAAAGGACACCAUGAACUGACACAUCAGGAGAAACAAUACAGGAACAGAACGGAGCUCUUCAUUACGGAAUUAUCUCCAAGGAAUUUGUCUUUGAAAGUAUCUCACAUUUCUCCAGAUGAUAGAAAAGUCUACGAAUGUUGGUUCUUCAUAGACGAGGACCGUAAUGGGUAUCUGGACAAGUGGCUUCUUAAAGUGGCAGGUCAUUACUCUGAGCCACUUAUAAAGGGACCAGCAAAGAUUGAUUUACGCAACAGGGAUGCAGAUUUCACAUGUGCAGCUACAGGGGGAUACCCUGAGCCAAAGGUCCAUUGGUUUAUCAACCAGAAGAUGGUGCUUCCACAGUCCAACAGGAUAAAGACCACCAUCAAGAAUAUCUCUAGUGAGGAGUACGCUGUGAAGAGCGUGUUGACUAUAAACAUGACGGAUGACACGAGUGUCUACUGUACUGUGGAAAACGAGCUACUUAAGGAGGAAAGGAAAUCGCCUGACAUUCAGUAUCUGAUUAAAACUAAGAAUGAGCAACAAAGGGGGGACAGAAGACACUGGUGGAUAGCAGUGAUUGUGGCAGUGGCACUACUGGUGAUCAUAGUGGUGAUUGCAAUGGCUGUGUUUAGAUCAAGGAACAAUUCAGCAUCGUCUGGAAGCAGUUGUGAUCGAACACAGCAGCAAGGAAGAAGAGAGCAAGAACAAAACCCCCUGCAGCCUAUAAAUGCUGAAGAUGGCACUCUUUCAAUGUCCUCAACACAUCAUUGAACAGCAGCCAUUUGUAUUUUCAUUGACUUUCCUUCAAGACCAAGAGAAUAUGGUAACGACCUUCACAUCCCACUCCAAUCGUGUACAUCAACAAAUAGACAAUGUGAAACUGGUGGUCUUCUGAAAAUAUGGAAACUGAAGAUUAACUUCUGACUUCUUUAUACUCAAACGCCAGUGUUUCAUUCAAGUUUUUUACUCGAGUGGCUGACCUGCACAAAAGUGAAUGAGAAGUGCUUUGCUUAGAUUUCGACAAACCUAAAGUCCACAAGAGCCAUUAGACUGUGAGCUGAAAAAGUCGACUAUUCUUAUGGAAUGGAACCAAAGAGAGCAAGUCAACAAUGGACUCAGCCUGUUUAUAGAAGGACUUUUCAUAAAUCGUGCCAUUUUGCCAAAGGAGGAGGAGAACAUCCAUCAGAGAAGAAGGACGGGAACAAAUCACCUAACUGUUCAGCAUCUGCAUUGGCCAUCAAAAAAGUUUCUGCUGCUUCAAAAGACCUAUCUAGAUUGGCGAAGGUCAGUGUGAAUCCUGCUUUCCAUUACAACUAUCAGACUCUGGUGAGCUCGUGAAGAUCUUUUUUAUAAUGGCACAGUACUGACUGUGAAUCAUUUUCCAUUUAAGACUUCAACUUCUUUGCAUCAGCUGGCAUCUAUAAUUCAUUCACCUGUUAUAAACAGUCGACUUGAACACUAGACUGAACUUCAGAAUGGUGCUGGGGUUUGUUUUCUACUGUAUUUAUUUUCAUUUAUAUGUUUAUGGGGUUGUAGCAUAUUGGGGGGUAGGAGAUCAUUGCUGUUUUUCUUCUUUAUGUCUUUCUUUGUUGUAUAUGCUUUCCUGUUUACUGAAAUUGCCUUAUAACUGCCUUUUUGACUAUACUGUAUAUAUUCAUUAAACUGUUUAGAGCUGAUUAUCUCAAAAAGGGGACGUACGGCGGGGCACUUAAUGGGGUGAUAUUGGCCUAUCCUUUUAUUAGCCACCUUACAGUCAGGAAGGUGAGUGGUAGCGAUCGGCCCUUUUCAUCAAAUCGGGUCCGACUCGUUACACAAGUCCACAUGGAAUGAAACUUGAUGUCUAAGAGGAAUUGCUAAAGUGUUUAAUAUCAUAAAACCAUAAAUGAAAGCACCACAGAAUAUCUAGAAAUCUCAGAUAAAGAUUGUUUCUUUGGUGGGAAAGGAACUUAAGUCUCAAUGAACAGACAGAAGAAAUUACAAAAAAAAAAAAAA